AAAGGGUAAGCCGAAAACCUUUCAACAGAGUAGGUA
rfam:Fulvivirga imtechensis AK7 contig73, whole genome shotgun sequence.